rnacentral:rRNA from 1 species
GGCGGUAUGCUUAACACAUGCAAGUCGAACGGCAGCAAGUCUAGUAGCAAUACUAGAUGUUGGCAAGUGGCGGACGGGUGAGUAACACGUAGGAAUCUGCCUAGAAGAGGGGGAUAACCCGAGGAAACUCGGGCUAAUACCGCAUAAUUUCUGAGGAAGAAAGCUGGGGCAACCUGGCGCUUUUAGAGGAGCCUGCGUCCGAUUAGCUAGUUGGUGGGGUAAAAGCUCACCAAGGCGACGAUCGGUAGCUGGUCUGAGAGGAUGAUCAGCCACACUGGGACUGAGACACGGCCCAGACUCCUACGGGAGGCAGCAGUGGGGAACAUUGGACAAUGGGGGCAACCCUGAUCCAGCAAUACCGCGUGUGUGAAGAAGGCCUUCGGGUUGUAAAGCACUUUAGGCGGGGAAGAAGAUUAGUAUUUUAAGAGAUAGCUAAUUUGACGGUACCCGCAGAAUAAGCACCGGCUAACUCUGUGCCAGCAGCCGCGGUAAUACAGAGGGUGCAAGCGUUAAUCGGAUUUACUGGGCGUAAAGGGCGCGUAGGUGGUUACGUAAGUGAGAUGUGAAAGCCCCGGGCUCAACCUGGGAACUGCAUCUUAAACUGCGUGGCUGGA